rnacentral:rRNA from 1 species
UGGAAGGGGUGUAUUUAUUAGAUUAAAAACCAAUGCCCUUCGGGGCUCUCUGGUGAUUCAUAAUAACUUCUCGUUUCGCACGGCCUUGCGCCGGCGAUGGUUCAUUCAAAUUUCUGCCCUAUCAACUUUCGACGGCUGGGUCUUGGCCAGCCAUGGUGACAACGGGUAACGGAGGGUUAGGGCUCGACCCCGGAGAAGGAGCCUGAGAAACGGCUACUACAUCCAAGGAAGGCAGCAGGUGCGCAAAUUACCCAAUCCCGACACGGGGAGGUAGUGACAACAAAUACUGAUACAGGGCUCUUUCGGGUCUUGUAAUUGGAAUGAGUACAAUUUAAAUCCCUUAACGAGGAACAAUUGGAGGGCAAGUCUGGUGCCAGCAGCCGCGGUAAUUCCAGCUCCAAUAGCGUAUAUUAAAGUUGUUGAGGUUAAAAAGCUCGUAGUUGAACCUUGGGACUAGCCGGCCGGUCCGCCUCACCGCGUGCACUGGCUCGGCUGGGUCUUUCCUUCUGGAGAACCGCAUGCCCUUCACUGGGUGUGCCGGGGAACCAGGACUUUUAC